GCUGCUCGUAAUAAUCACACACCUCUCCGUGGUGAGCAGCAGGCAACGAUCUAUGAUCGGCGAAGAUGUGA
rnacentral:ribozyme from 1 species